UACGUAGGGGGCUAGCGUUGUCCGGAAUCAUUGGGCGUAAAGAGCGCGUAGGUGGCCUUCUUAGUCAGACGUGAAAUCCCUGGGCUUAACUCAGGAACUGCGUCUGAUACUGGAAGGCUCGAGUUCGGGAGAGGAAUGUGGAAUUCCAGGUGUAGCGGUGAAAUGCGUAGAUAUCUGGAGGAACACCGGUGGCGAAGGCGGCAUUCUGGACCGAAACUGACGCUGAGACGCGAAAGCGUGGGGAGCAAACAGG
rnacentral:rRNA from 1 species